CUUGUUCUCAAAGUGAGUUUUCUAUUUUCGGAAACCAAGCCUCUAUGUAUUUGUGACAAGAUUUUAAGGAAGUGGUGGAUGAUCUCACAGG